UACGUAGGGGGCAAGCGUUGUCCGGAUUUACUGGGCGUAAAGAGCGUGUAGGCGGCCACGCAGGUCCGUUGUGAAAACUGGAGGCUCAACCUCCAGCUGUCGACGGAAACCGUAUGGCUAGAGUCCGGAAGAGGAGAGUGGAAUUCCUGGUGUAGCGGUGAAAUGCGCAGAUAUCAGGAAGAACACCAAUGGCGAAGGCAGCUCUCUGGGACGGUACUGACGCUGAGGCACGAAGGUCAGGGGAGCAAACGGG
rnacentral:rRNA from 1 species